rfam:Phytophthora infestans T30-4 supercont1.25 genomic scaffold, whole genome shotgun sequence.
UGGCGCAUAGCGCAGUGGUAGCGCGUCCCGCUUUGCAAGCGGAAGGCCCCGGGUUCAAUCCCCGGUGUGUCCA